UGGAAAAUAGCCUCAAGGAUGAGAUGAUGAGGAUUUUGAAGAUGGCGCCUACCUUCGGGGUGUGGAGGUAGAGACAGGAGAGAAGCUCAGGAUGCUGCUCAGAACAACCCAUGGCUCAGACUUCCCACCUGCAAGAUGAGCAGACGGGCAGAAGGGUCCUCUCCUUGUCUGCCACCCGCAUGGCGUGCUGUGAGGAGCCUGUGAGAACCUGCCCAUCACCAUGAGAAGUGCAACACCAACCUCAGGUGGAAGGUGUCUUAAGAGAAAACACUGAGGUCCCUCGAAGAUGAAGAAAUCCUCAUGAAGAUGAAUCCAAAGGUGGAUUCAAUUUCAGCUGUCUUUGGACUGAAGACUGCAACAUCAACACUUCCCAGGGUCUCCAGCCUGCCCGCCUCUCCCGCAAAUUUCAGAUUUGCAAGUAUCCACAGUCAUGAGCAAUUCCUUAAAGUAAAUAUUUCUCUGUUUCUUUCUGGA
rnacentral:lncRNA from 1 species